UACGUGAGGGGCGAACGUUGUUCGGUGUCACUGGGCUUAAAGGGUGCGUAGGUGGUUGCGUAAGUAAGGUGUGAAAUCCCUCGGCUUACCCGGGGAAUUGCAUUUUAUACUGCGUGGCUUGAGGACUAAAGGGGAAAAGGGAACUCCAGGUGUAGCGGUGAAAUGCGCAGAUAUCUGGGGGAAGGCCGGCGGCGAAGGCAGGUCUCUGGGCCGAUACUGACGCUGAGGAGCGAAAGCGUGGGGAGCGAACAGG
rnacentral:rRNA from 1 species